UUUCGGGUGUGGGGGUUGCCGGAGCUCUUCCGUGGGGAGUGCGAGAGCGCGUGGGAGCGCUCCCGCAGUGCACAGGCUGCGCCUGAAGA
rnacentral:tRNA from 1 species